rnacentral:rRNA from 1 species
GACGAACGCUGGCGGCGUGCUUAACACAUGCAAGUCGAACGGAAAGGCCCUGCUUUUGUGGGGUGCUCGAGUGGCGAACGGGUGAGUAACACGUGAGUAACCUGCCCUUGACUUUGGGAUAACUUCAGGAAACUGGGGCUAAUACCGGAUAGGAGCUCCUGCUGCAUGGUGGGGGUUGGAAAGUUUGGGCGGUUGGGAUUGGACCCGCGGCUUAUCAGCUUGUUGGUGGGGUAGUGGCUUACCAAGGCUUUGACGGGUAGCCGGCCUGAGAGGGUGACCGGCCACAUUGGGACUGAGAUACGGCCCAGACUCCUACGGGAGGCAGCAGUGGGGAAUAUUGCACAAUGGGCGGAAGCCUGAUGCAGCAACGCCGCGUGCGGGAUGACGGCCUUCGGGUUGUAAACCGCUUUCGCCUGUGACGAAGCGUGAGUGACGGUAAUGGGUAAAGAAGCACCGGCUAACUACGU